rnacentral:lncRNA from 1 species
GAAUCAAUCAUUGAAAUCACCCUAUGGAAUUUGCCUUUGUAUUCCAAUUUGGUUCCAGAAUGGAAUAAGAAGACUUAAAGACUAGUUGAGCAAAGCCAUGUAGGGCCUGCGAACUACCCAUCCAGGGCUCCAAGGGAAGCAGGCACAGACGAUUGAGUUGGGAGCUGAGUGUGAUCGGGAGAGUUGUGGGAAGUCAAGUUUGGAUGUUCUGGAGGAGUCUGCCGAGGGAUGCUGACAGAGGCAGAGCCUUUGUGAAGUUCACUGGACCAAUUUCAGUAGCCAGGAGCAAUGAAAGCCUGCAAAUUUGGAGACGUCUUCAUGGAGAAUUGAGCCCUCCUUGGCAUAGCAACAUUGAAGCCCUCAACAUUUGGGCCAGUAUGGGAAUGGCAGAUAGACUAAGGAGGCCCACAUAUUUGGACAUAUUUUUAACAAUCCCAUGAACACACUUGCCUGCUGCCAUGAAGCAAGUGGGUUUGAAGAGCCUGCACAGACCUGUUUUAUUCACUGCCAACCCAACGGAAAUCUGCUAAUAAGAAAAGUGGGGAACUGAAGUGCUGAUCUACAUUAGCCUAACCGAUAACAAACGACACAUCGCCAUUCAUUACUUCGGCCAUCAGAAUCAAGCAGAGUGCCUGAAAAUUGCUGUGCUGUGCACUCAGAAAUCCAGAAGGGCCCAGGAAAGCUCUUACAAUGGAUUGGCCUUACUUCCAAAUGAUACAUAGCUCAGAUGCCGAAUGCCUGGUGAUCCAGAGAGAGAGGUUCAGUUUAUAUCUGGUGGAGAUGUUGCCAAUACCCUCGUGCCACUUGUGGGUGACAUCAAGACUUUCGGUUCCAAACUAUUAACAUGAAACCAGGCAUAAUAUGUUGGGGAAACAAAGGGCCAUAGUGGCAGUGAAAUCUGU